CCCUGGCACCACCCCAGGAUGCCGGAAGAACACCAUCCUCCCCCUCUGGGGGAGGCAGACGCUGUUCCGAGAGCGGGAGGCAGAAACGCUCCAGUGGGAAGCCCACCCUUUACCAGACAAAGGGCUCAGAGGGAACAAUCCGCCUCCGCCGCCGACUCCACUGUUCUGCCCCUGCGAGCCACUAGACCCCCAGAUGCAGAGGGGAAUCAGCCCCAUCACUAUUGGCCUUUCGCCACCAGUGACCUCUACAAUUGGAAAGCUCAGAAUCCUAAGUUUUCCGAGAAACCGGCAGGGCUUAUUGAUUUAUUAGACUCUGUUCUUUUUACCCAUCAGCCCACGUGGGACGAUUGCCAGCAGCUUAUGCAGGUCCUGUUCACGACUGAAGAAAGAGAAACAAUCCUCAAUGGGGCCCGAAAACUAGUUCGGGCGCAGACGGGAAUCCCACCACCAACCAGGCCCAGAUAGAUGCCUCCUUCCCCUUAACUCGGCCCCAGUGGGAUUUCAACACGG